UGUCAUCCUGUCCUGCCACUUGGGCCCCGAGAAACUACUACUUCAAAGAUAGUAUAAUACUGUGCUUGCUGUGUUUACUCUUUAGGUUUACUUUCCCUUAACUCUAGAGUGAAUCCUCUUUGCUGUUUGCCAUCUUUUCUCAGAUGCCUUGGUGUUGAGACAACACAGAAGGACAUGGUAAACUGAAAAACUGGACCACUGUACAGCUGAUGUUAUCCUGGACAACGUGUAAUCUUUCCUACUGCUCCCCAUUCCAUCUUAGCCCCUUUUUCAC
rnacentral:lncRNA from 1 species